rnacentral:rRNA from 1 species
UGGGGAAUAUUGCACAAUGGGCGCAAGCCUGAUGCAGCCAUGCCGCGUGUGUGAAGAAGGCCUUCGGGUUGUAAAGCACUUUCAGCGAGGAGGAAGGUGGUGAGCUUAAUACGCUCAUCAAUUGACGUUACUCGCAGAAGAAGCACCGGCUAACUCCGUGCCAGCAGCCGCGGUAAUACGGAGGGUGCAAGCGUUAAUCGGAAUUACUGGGCGUAAAGCGCACGCAGGCGGUUUGUUAAGUCAGAUGUGAAAUCCCCGGGCUCAACCUGAGAACUGCAUUUGAAACUGGCAAGCUAGAGUCUCGUAGAGGGGGGUAGAAUUCCAGGUGUAGCGGUGAAAUGCGUAGAGAUCUGGAGGAAUACCGGUGGCGAAGGCGGCCCCCUGGACGAAGACUGACGCUCAGGUGCGAAAGCGUGGGGCAGCAAACAGGAUUAGAUACCCUGGUAGUCCA